UACGGGGGGGCAAGCGUUGUUCGGAAUUACUGGGCGUAAAGGGCUCGUAGGCGGCCAACUAAGUCAGACGUGAAAUCCCUCGGCUUAACCGGGGAACUGCGUCUGAUACUGGAUGGCUCGAGUUUGGGGAGAGGGAUGCGGAAUUCCAGGUGUAGCGGUGGAAUGCGUAGAGAUCCGGAAGAACACCGGUGGCGAAGGCGGUUGGCUGGGCAGGUGCUGACACUGAGGCGCGACAGCGUGGGGAGCAAACAGG
rnacentral:rRNA from 1 species